AAGUGUUAUGUUUUUAAAUGCCACUAAUAAUGUGUUUCUGUUUUCUUUCUCAUUAUGCUAACAAACACUCUUUUACCCCUCAUGUUAGGUAGAUCAACACUCCAACCAUCUGCAUUAGGGACUGAAUAAAGGAUGCCCUCUGUAGCUGGGAAUGUUAGAUCAGGCGGAUCAACAUUCCAUCCAUCUGCAUUAGGAUCUACCUUAGAGACACUCACUGGAGCUGUAAAUGGGAAGCAGGUCACUUACUUUGCAUUCGUCCUUGGUGGUCACCCCAGGGUCUCUAGAGUGAAAAUUACUCAAUCUAUGGAUUAAACAGAAAAUGU